rnacentral:rRNA from 1 species
UGGGGAAUAUUGCACAAUGGGGGAAACCCUGAUGCAGCGACGCCGCGUGAGCGAAGAAGGUUUUCGAAUCGUAAAGCUCUGUCCUAUGGGAAGAUAAUGACGGUACCAUAGGAGGAAGCCCCGGCUAACUACGUGCCAGCAGCCGCGGUAAUACGUAGGGGGCAAGCGUUGUCCGGAAUCACUGGGCGUAAAGGGUUCGCAGGCGGAAAUGCAAGUCAGUUGUGAAAGGCAGAGGCUCAACCUCUGUAAGCAAUUGAAACUGUAUUUCUUGAGGUGUGGAGAGGCAAGUGGAAUUCCUAGUGUAGCGGUGAAAUGCGUAGAUAUUAGGAAGAAUACCGGUGGCGAAGGCGACUUGCUGGACACAAACUGACGCUGAGGAACGAAAGCGUGGGUAGCAAACAGG